CCCUUAGAUGUCCUGGGCUGCACGCGCGCUACACUGACACAUUCAGCGAGUUUUUCCUUAUCCGGUAGGAUUGGGUACUCUUUUGAACGUGUGUCGUGAUGGGGAUAGAUUAUUGCAAUUAUUAAUCUUCAACGAGGAAUUCCUAGUAAGUGCAAGUCAUCAGCUUGCGUCGCUCCUACCGAUUGAAUGUUCCGGUGAAUAAUUCGGACUGCGGCAAUGGGGCUUGUGCCACUAUUGCUGUGGAAAGUCUAGUGAACCUUAACAUUUAGAGGAAGGAGAAGUCGUAACA
rnacentral:rRNA from 1 species